rnacentral:hammerhead_ribozyme from 1 species
GCACUACUGAGGAGACCCAUAAUAGGACGAAACGGCCGUCCAGUGC